UACGAGGGGUGCAAGCGUUGUUCGGAAUUACUGGGCGUAAAGCGUGAGGAGGCGGCUCGUUAAGUCUGAUGUGAAAGCCCUGAGCUUAACUCAGGAACUGCAUCGGAAACUAGCGGGCUAGAGUUCGGGAGAGGGUCGUGGAAUUCUUGGUGUAGAGGUGAAAUUCGUAGAUAUCAAGAGGAACACCGGUGGCGAAGGCGGCGACCUGGACCGACACUGACGCUAAUACACGAAAGCGUGGGGAGCAAACAGG
rnacentral:rRNA from 1 species